GAGAGAGAGAGAAGAGAGAGAGAGGUGAGAGAGAAGUGAGAGAGAGAGAGAGAGAGAGAGGUGAGAGAGAAGUGUGAGAGAGAGAGAGAGAGGUGAGAGAGAGAGAGAGAGAGAGAGGUGAGAGAUGUGCGUGUGAGAAGCGUUGGAGAACUGAACAUAACAAGAUUCCCUGAAAUUCUCACUAGAUUGUCCUUAUCAGACUAACAUGUUUUGAGGUUUUGAGAGUAUCAUUAGUAAUGUGGUCUUACAAGGUUUCGUGUUAUUACAUUUAGAUGGAACUCAACAUGUUUUUUGUAGAUGUUUACAAACACAUUACUGGAAUAAAACGUCUUGUUCUAUUCAGGAAGCACACAGCCCACAUUAAUUUAUAAACCUGAUUGUAAAAAACGUAUUUACCAUGCCUUUUUUUCUCAGUAGAUUUCCCAGCAAAUCUGAAC
ensembl:lncRNA